AGAGUUUGAUCMUGGCUCAGAGUGAACGCUGGCGGCGUGCCUAACACAUGCAAGUCGAACGAUGAURGAAGAGCUUGCUCUUCUUGAUUAGUGGCGCACGGGUGAGUAUACCAUAGAUAAUGUACCCCUUAGUUUGGGAUAGCCACUGGAAACGGUGAUUAAUACCAGAUACUCCUUCUUGUCUUAAGGCAAGUCGGGAAAGUUUUUUCGCUAAGGGAUCAGUCUAUGUCCUAUCAGCUAGUUGGUGAGGUAAUGGCUCACCAAGGCUAUGACGGGUAUCUGGUUUGAGAGGAUGAUCAGACACACUGGAACUGAGACACGGUCCAGACUCCUACGGGAGGCAGCAGUGAGGAAUAUUGCACAAUGGAGGAAACUCUGAUGCAGCAACGCCGCGUGGAGGAUGACGCAUUUCGGUGUGUAAACUCCUUUUAAGAGGGAAGAUAAUGACGGUACCUCUUGAAUAAGCACCGGCUAACUCCGUGCCAGCAGCCGCGGUAA
rnacentral:rRNA from 1 species